rnacentral:tmRNA from 1 species
GGGGAUGAUCGGUUUCGACAGCGGUCUUCGAUCGAUGAGAAGCGGGCCGAGGAUGUGUACUGACCUCGUUAACCAUGUAUGCAAACCAAUAGGUGCCGAACAGAAUCGCACCGACUUCGUUCUCGCCGCCUAAGCGAGCGAGCAAGUCCGUCAGUCCAGGUGCAGCUCUGAGCCUGGGUCCUGGCGUCGUUUUCAGGGCCACUGGGUUGUCGUCGCGUUAGCCGGCGCCAACCGACACUUAGCUAACUGAGCCGACCGGUGGUGAGUCUACGCGCAGCCGGCGGCCGAGAAAUACUUUUGUAGACUGCGCCCGGAGAAGCCCUCGGGGAAGCUCGUUGGACGCGGGUUCGAUUCCCGCCAUCUCCACUA